UACGUAGGGGGCAAGCGUUGUCCGGAUUUAUUGGGCGUAAAGAGCUCGUAGGUGGUUCGGUAAGUCGGAUGUGAAAUCUCCAGGCUCAACCUGGAGGGGUCAUUCGAUACUGCCGUGACUAGAGUUCGGCAGGGGAGUGUGGAAUUCCUGGUGGAGCGGUGAAAUGCGCAGAUAUCAGGAGGAACACCCGUAGCGAAGGCGGCACUCUGGGCCGAUACUGACACUGAGGAGCGAAAGCGUGGGGAGCGAACAGG
rnacentral:rRNA from 1 species